CUCAUGCUUACUUUGCUCUGCAGUGAUCUGUUCAGACAGUGAAGUGGGUAAGCAUUGGAGAAAGUCUUCAUCCUAUGUCUCCCAGAAGCUAAGGGCGAAAUUUCUAUGAAACAGAUUUCGAGUCUUGCAGGUAAAUAUCUAGAUGGGUAAUCCCUGUAGAAAGGAAGUUUUUGCUUCUGAGGAGAAACCACAACAGCAUGACAACAACAGGAAAACUGGACUUUUAGCAAAGAGGAAAAGAAGAGGUUACUACUGUUUGCGAGACCAUAACUCAAACAACUCACCCAUUAGCAAUAGUGCCUGUCAGACAAGACCUUUGGGAGGAUCUUCUCAGAAAAGUUGUUCUACAAGAAGUUGGACCAUCAGUAAGAUUUGACCAGCUUCUGUAAAGGUGAGUGCUAUUUUUCCUGCUGUUUUAAUAGAUGAAGUAGUCUAUCUAGGUGCUAAUACCACUUCUUAUUAUUGUACAAUAUAAUAAAAUUUUUCCUCCUCUGAAUGUGGUGUCUAGAUGCUAGAAGAUAUUUUACCUGUCAAGGAAAUGGCUAAAUGGAUGACAAAAAACAUAUACUUCUUUGCUUAGUAAAUGACUAAGAGAGAGAAGGUAAAUUAAAAUGGUCCUUGAUGGAAUUUAUUUAGUAGAUUUAUCCUUCAAUUAAAACUAAUGAUCAGAAAAGUGAUCCUUUUACCUAUGGACAGCUUUCUCUGUUACAAAGCAAAAGUCAUUAUUCCAUAUUAUUCUUAUUACAUCUAUCCAUCCUGCUUUAAUGUAAAAGUCACACAGGCAAGACUGUCAAGUGCAGUUCAGAUUUUUUUUUUAUUGGUUUUGAUAGCCUUUAAAAGACAGUUCUAAUUUUGGACCUCAAAGCUAACAGUGACCUUUCAUUGCAAGGAUUUUUGAAUGCAAUGAGCACAUUUAUUAAUAUUAAUCCCAGGUUAGCUCUUAUGUGAAUUCCUCCUACUGACAUUUACAGCAACCCAACAACUAUGACCUUAUUUUAAGGUUUAAAACAACCCUCUCAGCUGCUUUAUUAAUGAUAAGAAUUAAAACAAAAUGAAAAUAAGAACUUUUUUUUAGUAUUUAUUUUAUUUCUUAAAGAUUCAGUGAGAUACAAAAUGAAAAGAGUUGUACUUUCUAAAACACAAAUGCUGUGAUGUUCUUUUAUAAAUGUCAUCCUCAGCUACAGGGUCAAAUAAUGCAGAAAAAUUGAUUCAUGAAUAUUUUCAUGAAUAGCAUUGACAAGACCAUCUGACUUGAGGUCACAUUAUUUACAGUUGAUAAGUGACUUGGUUGGUCACUUGGAAUUAGUCAACAUGCUCACAAUUCCGAAGUCUUCCACUUACUUUGCUACAAUUAUGACUUUCAUGGGAAUGCGUGUGUUCUUUGUUUAUUCUUUUUUACUGCUCUUCUGCUGAAAAUGGCUAUGUGUGAUCCAUAAUGAAGUAGGAAUUUUAAUUCAUAGUCUUUCUGCUGAGAGCGCAAACUAGAUAAAACAUUGUUGUGGUUUAACCCUAGCCAGCAACCAAGCACCAUGCAGCCGCUUCCUCACUCCUCCCC